CUCGUCUGCGAUCGGGUUGGUUUCCCAUGGAGGAUGUCGCACGCCGCCAUCGCCAUGGCGGCCGUCCUGACCCAGGUCCAUGCGGCGGAGGAGCCCACCUCAUCAGCGCCCUGCCGGAGGAUCUGCUCCUCCAGGCCCUCGUCCGCCUCCGCUGCGCCCGCGCCGCCGCGCGCACAGGCCUCCUCUCCCGCCGGUGGGCGCGGCCUCUGGACCCGCCUCCCCGACCUCGUCUUCCGCUCCUACCCACGCUCGGCCAGCUCCUACCCGCGCUCGCCUCGCUCCAAGCCGCGGCCGGCCCCGGGGUGACCCUCCUCGACAUCCGCGUCGCCGGGCUUGAGCGGGAGGCUGCGCUGGUCUCUUCGCUGCUCCAUGCCGCCGCGGGGCUCUCGCCGGCGGAGUUCCGCCUGGCCCUCCCGCGCGACCUCCCGUUCUUCCACGUGGAGGUGCCUCGCUCGCUUCCACCGCGCCACCUCCAUGGACCUCGCCGCGCACUACCUCCACCUCUUGCUGUCACGCAUCAGCAGGUUCCCCGCGCUCCAGAGACUGUCCCUCUCGUCCCCCCGCGUCGACCUCGCCGACUUGCUCCACAGCUGCCCGUGCCUGCGGGUGCUCAGGGUGGCCGACGGGUUCCUCGACAGCAACAUCGCCAUCAAAUCGGAGUCUUGGGAGGAGCUCGCUGCGGAGAGCCUGAACAAAUGGACAGACUGUAUCUACAUCGAGGCGCCUAUGCUCAAGAAAUUGGCAGUGUGAUUCAGCAUCGACAGCGAGCUCACCGUGUCCAUCGCGGCGCCAAUCGUGGAGAAGGUCUCUUGGGAGUUCUUCUAUUGCUAUUCCUCGCUCACCCGUGGGCUUGGUCUCAUUUCUGUACCAUCAGUAAAUGAAUUGUGGUAAUCCACAUUUGUUCUAGUUCAAAGAAGAAUGCCCGGUAAAUUGUCCCUGCGAUGAGCCCAGGAGCUGGAGAAGCAAAAAUGUCUCAUUGAUCAAUCUCGAAGAAGUGGAAAUGGAAGGCUUCGAAGGGGAGGGCCAUGAGUUUGAUUUGCUGAAAGUGAUAAUCAGAUGUGCAACUACGCUUAAAAGAAUGGCCGUGCGGAUGUCUGAUGAGGUCAGAACAAGUAACGACCGGUGUUCGAAAAUAUACGACAUCUUCAAGGCGUAUCCUUUCGUGGAAUGCAAUGUUCAUCUUAGUUCUGGGCCAAACCGCGGCAGCCAAAGUUCUGCGCUCGCAUGAUUCUCAUCCCUGUGUUUACGGGUUCACGGUGCUCAUCGUCAGGAGGGUCCUCUCCAACGCAGAAUUUUGCUUGGCGGCUGCUUCGAUGAACAAACUGAGCCACUGAGGUGUUAUUCCACCGAUGUCAACAGAAUUUUGCUCUUUCAUUAGGCUUGUUAUAAUCCUUGACGAAAAUCAUUGAAGCCAUAUGUGUCGUAGUUCAUUCUGACUGACCACCAUGCAAUUGCCAAAAUUCAGUCUACUGAACCUGUCUCGGGCAAAAAAUGGUCCUCUCUUAAGCCUCAAUCAGCUCAGUGAUUUCAUUCACCAAAAGUUGGAUAGAGCAUCAGAGAGGAAGAAUGCUCACUUUAUCCUCUCUUUUUGUCAAGCAAGCAUGUGGCCGGUUUGGCAAGGGCUCCAGCCAGUCAACCCAUAGGAUUCUGCAGUGCAGCAAACAAAAAUAAACGUCCAGGAUGGAUGGAUGGAUAGAUCCAGGCAACAUUUUGACUCCUACCUCGUGGCCUGCUCCGUCCCAGCAUUUGUUAAAUCAGAGAACUGGGCUGUAAAGCAAUGGCCAACUGUUUUUAUUUAUAUUCUUCUUUCUGUUGGUGUUGGGGCAUGGAACUGCCUCCUCUGCUCUGCAUUUCAUCUCAGCAAAUAACCAUGGCCUUGCUGCUGCUGCUGCUUCCCUACAGCCUAAAGACUACUGGUACAUGCAACAUCAUCCUCCAUCUCUAGCUAUGAACAAGGGGAGAGAAGGGAGGAUGCCGCGGGUCGAACGCGACAGACGGAGGCGCCUUCUCUCGCUUCGUCGUCUUCAGUUUCUUCUUCUCCUCUGCCGUGACCGCCUCGAUCAGCUGCAUCACCUCCCCCUCAAGGAGCAUCUUGAGCGAGCUGGAGUAGAGCUUGUGCUUGCCCUUCUCGAUGACCACGGCCGUCGAAGCCUCCGAGCAGUGCAGCAGAGAGAUGCAGGCUGAGAAUGCCUGUAACGCUGAUAGCUGCGCGUGGAAAUCCACCAACAGCUGCCCUUUCCCGUCGGCUUUCAUGGAAAGGGCAGGGAGCUCCUCUUUGCUACCCUGUUUGAACAAUAAAUGGACACACAUGACGGCUACUCUUGUUUGCAGUAAGAUGAAUAUAUUACAGCUAACUCAGGGCAAUUUACUGCAUAAGAUUAGACUAGAAAGAACAAUAAGUUUUAGGCUCUCAGGCAUCAGCUAGCUGCAUUUGACCUUCAAAAUAAAUCUUUUCCUUCACAAUGGCAUAAAUUAUUACACUUUAUGCUAAAGGACCAAUAACUAAAGGUAUGCCUAACCAAGUCCUAUUUUAAAGAAUUGUUCUACAGAUAGAGAAGUAGUGCAAAUAAACAAGUUGAUAUGAGGAUGAUUGUCCUGAGUAACAGAGCUAAUUAAUUACUUCUACAAGAUGUUUGAUCAGUUUUGCAUUA